rnacentral:rRNA from 1 species
AUUGAACGCUGGCGGCAGGCUUAACACAUGCAAGUCGAACGAGUGGCGGGCGGGAGUGUAAUGCUUGGGAAUCAAGAUUAUGGAGGGGGCAAAAUACGGGAAAAUGGCGCUAAUACCGCGUAACAUAGGAUGGGCACAAGUGGGUAUAGGUAGUUGGUGAGGUAAAGGCUCACCAGGGAGACGAUCUCUAGCUGGUCUGAGAGGAUGACCAGCCAAACUGGGACUGAGACACGGCCCAGACUCCUACGGGAGGCAGCAGUGGGUAAUAUUGCGCAAGGGGGGAAACCUGACGCAGCCAUGCCGCGUGAAUGAAGAAGGCCUUCGGGUUGUAAAGUUCUUUCGGUAGCGAGGCGUUAACUACAGAAGAAGCACCGGCUAACUUCGUGCCAGCAGCCGCGGUAAUUC